rnacentral:rRNA from 1 species
GGAAUAUUGCACAAUGGGCGCAAGCCUGAUGCAGCCAUGCCGCGUGUAUGAAGAAGGCCUUCGGGUUGUAAAGUACUUUCAGCGAGGAGGAAGGCGUUGUGGUUAAUAACCACAGCGAUUGACGUUACUCGCAGAAGAAGCACCGGCUAACUCCGUGCCAGCAGCCGCGGUAAUACGGAGGGUGCAAGCGUUAAUCGGAAUUACUGGGCGUAAAGCGCACGCAGGCGGUCUGUCAAGUCGGAUGUGAAAUCCCCGGGCUCAACCUGGGAACUGCAUCCGAAACUGGCAGGCUAGAGUCUUGUAGAGGGGGGUAGAAUUCCAGGUGUAGCGGUGAAAUGCGUAGAGAUCUGGAGGAAUACCGGUGGCGAAGGCGGCCCCCUGGACAAAGACUGACGCUCAGGUGCGAAAGCGUGGGGAGC